CGCACGCUUGUUUACACACACCAUUUCAAGGACUACUACCGACUAAAUCUGCAAAACCCGCCUCACCCUGUUAACUCAGGUUGGAGUGCAGUGGAGCAACCAUGGCUCAUUGCAGCUUCCACCUCCCAGGGUGAAGUGGUCCUCCCACCUCAGCUUCCCAAGUAGCUGGGACUACAGAUCUGAUGGUCUUCUAAACAUGCGGCAUUUCCCUUCUGGCACUCAUUCUCUCUCCUGAUGCCCUAUGAAGAGGCCCCUUCCACCAUAAUUGUAAGUUUCCUGAGACUUCCUCAGCCAUGAGAAACUGCAAGCCAAUUAAACCUUUUUUAGGAAAUACCCAGUCUUGGGUAUUUCCUCAUAGCAGUAUGAGAACAGGCUAAUACCCUUACAAAGGAUGAGACAGAUUGGUUUUGAGGAUGGGGAGCUGAAUCUACUCUUUAUGGCUUUAGAAUACGAAGCUGGCACUAAAUAAUAGAUGCUGUUAAAAGUUAGACUUUGGUGUAGGUGAUACUUUGUUUCUUAAUUAUUAGAGUUGUUGAAAGAAGAUUAUUAGGAGGAACUGAAUCAACCAGAAGCAAGGAAACCACUUGCCAAGACGUCAUAAACAGGAU
rnacentral:lncRNA from 13 species